UUCUCCACGACUCAGUUUCUUCACCUAUAAAAUGGGGAUGAAAUUACCCACAGGCUUGUUCUUCGGCCUCAGAAAUAACCGUGCAUAUUCAAGGUCCUGGUGGUAGGUGCAACGGCUGUUGUCACCCGUAGCCAGUAGAGGGCACCAAACUAAACAAAACGAGACCCAGCAAGGGAACACAUUCCUAGUGGCUGCAAAGUUAUAAAUUAAAUUGUACUUUACACUGUGCUUGGGAGCCAUCAUCUAACAAAAGCAGACCGGGAGUAGUACAAACACACAUCAAGGAGGAAAACGUCUGCACGUGGCUUCUUAUCCUGGACAGAAUCAGGGGGCUAUUUGACCUGGGCAAUGACAAUCUCCGUCUGACCCCCUUCCCUUCUUGGAGACCAAGAUGACCUUUGGCUGAAGCAGUGCAGAAGCGGCAAUGUGCCAGGCUGAGUAAGCACAGCCCCCAGCAUGGUGGCACACUGGCCCGACUUUCACAGCCAGCGCCAAUGGAGAGAGGACCGUUUCAAGUGCCUCAGAACCUGCUUUGGACGGCUCCUACUUAUGGAAUUUCCUCCCCUCAAAGUAAUCCAGGCAUAACUUCUAAUUUCUAGGGUUUUUUUCCUGUUAUUGGAACAUUAUACAGUGGACUGUA